CAGUAGCCGCGGUAAUACGAAGGGUGCAAGCGUUAAUCGGAAUUACUGGGCGUAAAGCGUGCGUAGGCGGUUUGUUAAGUCUGUUGUGAAAUCCCCGGGCUCAACCUGGGAAUGGCAGUGGAUACUGGCUCGCUAGAGUGUGUCAGAGGAUGGUGGAAUUCCCGGUGUAGCGGUGAAAUGCGUAGAGAUAGGGAGGAACAUCAGUGGCGAAGGCGGCCAUCUGGGACAACACUGACGCUGAGGCACGAAAGCGUGGGGAGCGAACAGGAUUAGAUACCCCCGUAGUCCCUGUCUCUUAUAC
rnacentral:rRNA from 1 species